rnacentral:lncRNA from 1 species
AGGACCGCUUAUCGGUCACGGUUAUUCAACUUUGUUUGGACUGCGACCAAUUGGGUGAGUACAACUUGAGUAAUAAAAAAAACCCUGCUAAUUUUUCUUUAUCGCGAUAGUGGGUAAACAAUCGGUUAUCUUUGAAAGAUACAGUUUGCGCUCUCUCUUUUUUUUUUUUCAACCGGUAGGAUUAUGGUAGUAACUAAAUGGGUGUUUGCUUGAUGUCUAUACACACACGCACCCAACUUACUAUAGAUGAAUGCCAGCCGGUGAUAAUAGAAGCUGGGUUCCAAAGGGAUGAUUGUAUCAAGCAGGUUGACAGUGUAGGAAAGGACAGGAUGUCCCGUUUCUAUUCUGUUCAGAAAUCGAUCCCCUGAGACUAGGUAUGCGCUACAGUUCCGAACGUUAAAUUGCCAAGUUAAGUUUGUUUCUACGCGUCGUUAUCCCAACGGAGGAAGUAAAACCUUAACUCUGUGGCUCGGAUUACAGCGGGGGUUCUAGGAAUACUUAUAAUAUAAUUAACUAGAGAAUUUCGGCAAUGGAAGAAUAAGCAAAAAUAGCAUGUAAAAACUCCAUUGUUAACAAAAAUGCCGCCAGAAUGUCGAUACGUCAACACAGCUUUUCCCCUUCCGUUUUGUUACAAGGGAAGAAGUGUGAAUGUCGGAUUCCGUUCCAUGGCCAAGUGGGUGACGAAGCAAUCCUGGGAAAACAUUAAGCGCACUCCUGCUGUGCCUUUCAUCGCUGCCUGUGAAGGCCAUGCGACCUAUAAACUACAGAACUGUAGAUUCGCUGCUAUGGCUUUUAUAGUUUAGAGCUGGCUGUGUUACCGAAACUAAUCUGGCCACUUGUGAAACAGUCUACGAAUCACUGAACAAUUAGAUUAGCUCUUCCUUUUUUUUAUUUUUUUAACUACUACCGUUGCGUAAAUAAUCGCGUUGGUUUGACUGUUGCUGAAAAACUAAUUAAUUAAUCAUUCAGAUUUAUGAUGUACUAAAUCAUACGGUUAUUAUGGCCACCAGUCUGUUAAACGAAAUCUAAAAGACCUGUUGAUUUUAACGUGACAGAAACCAAAAUUUAUUUAUUUCUCCAGCAGUUUUUAUUCGCUUCGCUCUUA